GCCUGGGUGGCUCAGUCGGUUGAGCGUCUGACUUCGGCUCAGGUCAUGAUCUCACAGCUCGUGAGUUCGAGCCCCGCAUCGGGCU
rnacentral:tRNA from 1 species